UGGACCCACCUGAUCCCAUGCCGAACUCAGAAGUGAAACGCAAUAGCGCCGAUGGUAGUGUGGGGCUUCCCCAUGUGAGAGUAGGACAUCGCCAGGC
rnacentral:rRNA from 1 species